rnacentral:rRNA from 1 species
AGUGAACGCUGGCGGUAGGCCUAACACAUGCAAGUCGAACGGCAGCACAGUAAGAGCUUGCUCUUACGGGUGGCGAGUGGCGGACGGGUUAGGAAUACAUCGGAAUCUACUUUUUCGUGGGGGAUAACGUAGGGAAACUUACGCUAAUACCGCAUACGACCUACGGGUGAAAGCAGGGGAUCUUCGGACCUUGCGCGAUUGAAUGAGCCGAUGUCGGAUUAGCUAGUUGGCGGGGUAAAGGCCCACCAAGGCGACGAUCCGUAGCUGGUCUGAGAGGAUGAUGAGCCACACUAGAACUGAGACAGGGUCCAGACUACUAAGGGAGGCAGCAGUGGGGAAUGUUGGACAAUGGGAGAAAGCCUGAUCCAGCCAUACCGCGUGGGUGAAGAAGGACUUCGGGUUGUAAAGCCCUUUUGUUGGGAAAGAAAAGCAGAAGGUUAAUACCCCGCUGUUCUGACGGUACCAAAAGAAUAAGCACCGGCUAACUUCGUG